UACGUAGGUGGCAAGCGUUGUCCGGAAUUACUGGGCGUAAAGGGCGCGUAGGCGGCCUACUAAGUCGGACGUGAAAUCCCUCGGCUCAACCGAGGAACUGCGUCCGAUACUGGUGGGCUUGAAUCCGGGAGAGGGAUGUGGAAUUCCAGGUGUAGCGGUGAAAUGCGUAGAUAUCUGGAGGAACACCGGUGGCGAAGGCGGCAUCCUGGACCGGUAUUGACGCUGAUGCGCGAAAGCCAGGGGAGCAAACGGG
rnacentral:rRNA from 1 species